rnacentral:lncRNA from 1 species
CAGAUGUGUUGAGGUAGUUUCUCUCUCUUGGCUGAUAUGGGAAUGUGGCCAAGAGUCCAGGCUCUGGGACAGACAAAAUGGGUUCCACUCUGCCACUUUAGAAUUGCUGGACUUUCAGCAAGUCAUCCCUAUAUCUGUACUGCAGCUUCUUUCUUGGAUGCUUGGAUUUGAAGAACAAGGUCAAAUGGAAAGCUAGAGAUUCACUGGUCUUUAACUCACUUUCUGCCUGCUCAUGACCUUACCUAAGAGAAGAUAAGAGCAUACAUUGGCCCCAGAAUCAUCAGAAUUGGCUUGACCUUCCUGUAUAUAAAUGCUACUCACCUUUCUAUCCUCAGCUCAGAUGGGACCCUGUCUUAGAAAUCUGCCCACUCUCUUCCAUAAGCCACCUCCUCUGCUACAGACCUUCCUUCAGACUUUGAUCAGGAAGCACUUACCCACUCUGUUAUAUAGGAGUUUGCAGUUGUUUCCUCUCCUCAACUCAGUAUUUCUUAAGGAAGAGGCCUGCCACAAAGGACAGAAGCACCAAACAUUUGGUGAUUAAAUAAAUCCAUGAAUGAACAAAACACAGCAAGAAACUGCAAAGAACGUGGAGAUAAUCUUUAAAAACCCAGUUACAGCUGAAAAUCUCUUGAGGUGCCACUCAGGGACCAGUGUGGUCUGCAAGUGUCCCCUGGAAACUCCUGUCUUCCAGUCUGGUGCACUGAUUGCUAGGAUCUGGCUCCAGGUCCUCCUUGGCUGCCCUGGUCAGCUGGUGAGAACGUGCAACUCCAGCUCAGACCUGGAGUGUUCCUGCAUAAUCUGUUAAUGUAAAUGAUCUGUCAUCUUGACCAGCAAGGUUAAAACAAGUACCUGUUACAAGAAGGAUCUGGACAGCCACAGAGUAGCAUGGAGAGUUCAAGUACAAUUGUUUUCUAAGAGAGGUCAAGUUCACCUUGUGUUGGGCUAACAGUUACCAAUUAAAGGAGAGGAUACUAUAAAUUUUGCUGGUUUUUAAACUCCAGGAAGCUCACGUUCCAGUCAAUGGCAGCCUCUGGACAACUGCAUUGCCCAUCUUCCUGCCAGGACGUUCCAGAACUGAGGUGCCAAGCCUGGGUGCAGCCCAGGGAAGGACCCUGGAUGCUGCUGGAGGAGGGUCCCGAAAUCAAGGGAAUGGAUGUAUUGCAGAUAAGAGCUUCGCUCCAUUCCCUCUCCCCAGGAGGGCCACCAACCAUGUGUUUGUGCUUGCACUGUGAGCUCACUGCAUAGGUAAUUGGACCAGGCCUGAGCCAAUCAGGUUUGUCAUCCACUAGGAAUUUGGAAUGGAGAUGGACUAGUAGCCAAUGGACUGAGAAGAAAAUGAGGGAACUCAGGAUGCUGGCAGGAAGGGG